CCUGCAGAAGGAUAGCUCCAGGACGAAAUUGCCAGGAUUAAUCAGAGUCCUCGCGGCGAGGAAACAAACAAACACGACAGGGCAGAGCAGAGCAGGACGAGGAGCAAUCCAACGACACGAACCGAGGGAGGCAGGGCAGGGAUCCUUACCGGGGAAGGAGGAACCCGAUCCCAGCCCGGAGGGGUCUCUGCUGCCCGGCGGUGAGGUGGAGGGGGAAGCCAGUCGGCGAGGUGGGGGGUCGCCGAGAUCGCGCUUGCAGUCGUCACAGGAAUUGCUAUGCGGAUCCAACAGGGCACACCGGCACAUGACUGCGAGCAGUUUUAUUUUUCUUUUUCCCUCGCGGGAUCGAGUCGGAGUCGCAAACUCUGAACUGAGCAUGCGAUCUACAGACGAGAAGAUGGGCGAGCGAACCCGCGGGUUGGGGUCGAAUUAGUCCGGGGCCGGGAGGGGGGUGGUCGCUGGCUGGCGAAGGCACGCUUUUCGUCUGGAAAUUUUCGUCUCGCAUCUCUUCCUCCUCGUAUAAGGAGCGGAGACUUAGUCCAUACGGUACAUAGCCUCGGCCCUCGGACAAGAGAAGGAAGGAAGGAAGAAAUCAGCCAAAGAUCAAGCUCGAAUCAAAAAGAGCUCUAAAUCGAAUACAUGCUAUGCAAGCCCUACCAUAAAAAUCCAUCACAAAAGCAGUGUUCCUCAAAUGUUGCACGAGGAUCCGAAAAUCGGCAAUAGAUCGAAUCGAAUCGAACUGUAUAACCACUCGAAAUCGAACAAUGACGGAGUUCAAAGAAGGGAAGGAAAGAGAAAUCCGUAAUCAUGCUACAACAAUACCAGAUCGAGAGGGAGGAGGUGCGCCGGAGGAUGCGGGUGGAGGUGGCGCACCGAAGGAAGCUACCCGAUGUGGUACGCCACCACCGGACUGGCGACUCUGAACGGCUCGGCUACACCUCUGGAACUACACGCUCGUGGGCUAGCCAAGAGGGCGCCGAGGUCGCCUCUGAAUCCAAGCGCGUGGAGUGUGUGUGUGUGUGUGUGUGUGCGCGGAGCGGCUGCCGUUCGCAUCGGAGGACAAGGGGCGACGGGUGGAUGAAAGACGGCCGGAAGGAUAUGCGAUGGUGGCUGAGGCAACCGGCGGGGGAGGCGACGCCGAUAGAGGGGCAGCGGGCGGUGGUGAGGGGUACCGGUGGGGGAAGCUCGGCGGCGGCGGCCUGGAUCUGGAGCUGGGCAUCAACCUCGGCUGCGCCUGGAUCUGGGCGGUGCGGUGGAUGGGGAAGAAGCAAUCGGCGCUCGCUCGGGAUGCGUCGCUCACUCGCUCGAUGUCGAGCCGCUCCACGUCCGUUCCAGAUCGGGUGCUGGUGGGAUGCGAGAAGAGGAGGUUGGGUGCAGGUGUUUACAUUUUUUUUCUUUUUUUUCUUUUUUUUGAUCACGGAAAAGAAGAGUUCCAUUGAACAUUGCCUCUAGGCAUAUCACCACAGACCAAUGAGAUAUGUGGUGCAUGAACAGUAAACAUACAAUCAUACAAUCUUCAGCAUGCCAAUUGAGGCCUUGUUUAGUUGUAAAAAAAUUUUGGAUUUCGACACUCGUUUGUUUAUGGCAAAUAUUGUCUAAUUAUGGACUAAUUAUGAUCAAAAGAUUCGUCUCGCGAUUUACAGUCAAACUGUUCAAUUAGUUUUUGUUUUCGUCUAUUUUUUAGUACUUCCUGCAUGUGUCACAAGAUUCGAUGUGACAGGGAAUCUUAAAAACUUUUUGGUUUUCGGAGUGAACUAAACAAGGCCUGAUUGCAGCUUCUUCUAUUACAAACAGAGAUUACACAAGCGUUAAAUUCAUAUUGCAUUAAAUCUCAUUUGUCUAAAUAAACAACCAUAUGGACUUCUAUCCUAAGUUGUUGUUCUGAGAGCAUCACCAAGAAUGGUUGCAUCCAUCUCUAAGAUAACACGGUUCAUUCCAAGUUGAAUAGCUCUUUCAACGCUCCAAAGAGUUGCUAAAGUUCGGCGUGUAAAAAUCCUUCUGAGACUUCCUGCGCCUGUCUGUACCGCAGUUCCUUCAUGGUUACGAAUAACAAAACCCCAGCCACCAUGGCCAUCAUUAACAUGAAAGGAGGCAUCAACAUUAAUUUUAUAAAAUUCUUCAGAUGGAGGGAUCCAGCUACCCUUAAAAUGUUGUCUUGCUGGUUUUUGUUAGUCCUGAAGCUUCUCACAAACUCUCAGAUGGUACAUGAUAGAGCUGCAAAUUUCUGCUUCAUAAGCCAUUUUCUCCCCUCUAUUAGCUUUAUCUCUUGCUGACCACCAAACCCAUAAUAGAAUCAGAAUCUUUUGACAAACACUUUGCUCCAUCUGUAUGAUUAAAUCAAUAGUUUCAAUUCCUGAUUUGCAUUGCACAAGCAUCUAGUGUUUAUCUUCUAGGUUUAGAGCCUGCCAACAAGAUCUUAUUUUCUUGCAUUUAAAGAAAAGAUGGCUGCAAUCCUCAUCAAGGCGAUUGCAAACGGGCAAAUUAUAUGAAUGCAAGCAUGUCGUACCUCACUAAAAUGUUUGCAAAAUUUCUAUUUUUUUAAUAUUUUCUAUUUUCCUACAAAUAAGUCUAUUUUUCAGCUUAUAUAACAUCUUAAUGACCUAUAGAUAUUUUAGUUUUCCUUGUUUAAUGUAUCUCUAUUGAUUUUUUUUAGAAAUUUUAGAAGCCUAGAGAUAUAUUUUAGUUAAAAAACUUUACUAGAUGUUUACCAAAAUGUCUAACUAGAAAAGAUGAAAACAUCUUGAAAACGGGCUCCAACAACAGAGAGAAAAUUUAAAUGGUUUUGAGAGUUAAUUAAUGAUUAUAAUUCCCAGUUUUAAAGUUGGAGAACAACAUCAGGAAGUAAACAUUUUUUGUUUUUUUACUAUUUUCCACUUCAUCAUCAUCAUCAUCAUCACAUCAUCACACUAUAAAAGAGCGAGUUUUUUUGAAGGGGCUCUCCCUCUCUAAUAACCGUUCGAUCUAAACGUCGUACUAUAUGAGCCAUCCGUCACCCUUGAUCUUAUCACACUAUAAAAGAGCGAGUUUUUUUUGAAGGGACUCUCCCUCUCUAAUAACCGUUCGAUCUAAACGUCGUACUAUAUGAGCCAUCCGUAUCUAAGACUCCUCCUAAACCAAGAUUUCUUCUAGACUCCCAGUUACAAAUACCUCAGUCUUUUUUUUCUCCGUGUAAUCUUGCUUCCUUGGAACCGAUCCAUAUUUGUGUACCAGAGUUCAAUUCCAACUUACAUGCAUAGUUUUUUUUUUGAUUUUUUAAGUCCAAUUCAUUAGCCGUUUUGACUCUUUUUAUUUCAAGAAAGAAUUAAAAGCAUGUUUUCUUUUUGUCUUGCACGCUUAAGAUCGUGCGUGCAUUAUACGACCAGGACUCCGAUCACUACUACGCAUGAGCCAUUGCAGCCGUGUUCGUUGUUUCUAUCAAACCGUGCAAAACAUGCGUCAAACCAGAUGGCGAAUGAAUAAAAGUCUGAAAAAUAUGUGAAAAGUUAUGUAGAUAUAUGCAUGCACGUCUUUGGCCUCGGGGACACUAAAGCCUGGCGCAUGGAGGACCUGGAGGUGUUUGAGCAGAUGCGGCAAAUGAUGGUGAGGCGCAAGCAAUUAGGCAAGCUCGCUAGAGUAUGGGCAAGGCAACGAUUUGUUACACAUGAUCUUACAUGAUGUAAGAUGUACUCCUCGUCAAUCAAGAUUUGUUUUUAUCCGAAAAGAAAAUCCGUAACACGCAUUGCAUGAGGAUAGUAAAUAGAUUAAUUAGAAGAAAAAUACAGAUGCACCAUCGCCUACCAUGGACUGUUUGAAAAAAAAUAAUACACAUCAAGAUGCAUGCAAUUAAUGAAUAGAUUAAUUGGAAAAGGGAAAAUAGUAUGCAACUAUAAUAAAUAAUCUAAUUCAGAAAAGUAAAAUAAUACGAAGGCACAUCAAUAUGAAUAUGUAUUAGCAACUAAAAGGAAAAUGAUAAAAUUUGAACACACAUGAUUUUAUUUGUUAUGACAAACAAGAUAGAAAAAACUAGCAAACAUCUUGCAUUACUUAUAGUACCACAUUGUGAAUAAACUGUAACAUGGAGUGGAAAUAAAAUCAAGGAAUGUCCUAUAGUACAAACACGUGCAUGUUGUACGUGUAUUUUUUUUUGAAUAUGGUACCUCUUUCAUUACUCAUCGGCUAACAAAUUGUUAGCACCAAUAACAGCAAUGUUUUCGGGCAAAGAGUCGGAGAUAUAGAUGUCAGCGGGCACAUUACCCGCGGGUGCGAGAUAUAUAGACAUGCACUCGCGGGUUGAGUUCCAAACUCGCAUAUGUAACCCGCCAUGUUCCAGAGAUGAAGAUUACAGGAAUAUAAAAUUCAAGCACAUGUUCCAGGAAAACUUUGGCUUUAGACUGAGAGUUAAAUCAAGGAAACAAUCAUCAGGUUCUGUGCUGAAAUCCCACAGGUUCAGUUCCAAUCUUAGUUCUAUUUCUGUUAAAGUUAUAGAAGGACUCAGUUAAAAUAUUAUUGUCUUACAAAAAAGUUAAGAUAUGCCAUGAGCACAGUUUUGGUAAAAAAAAAGACUCACUAGGUUCGUUUGUUUUUGUAUGGGAAGCAUCAUGAACAGGUCUUGGUUUGCACACCUACAAAACUCACCCGAGUCAGGCCACUUGAAAUGGAACAAAAUGUACCCGAAAUGAAAACCUCAACAGGUAACAGUACAUUGAAGAAAGGAUGUUCUGAUGCUUGCUCGGCAGUUGGUUCACUCAUUUAAUGAAGAAACGUAGGUGAACUGAUUUUUUGUGGCCAAUAUAACCCAAAGUACACUGACAAUUUAGUACGUUUGGUGUCGUUCUCAUGUUAACCAUCACAAAAAUCGUGCCUUUGAGGGAAUAGCAUGGUAAAUUAGCCUCUUUUUUUUCCUCUUCCUUUUAUCUAUACAAAAAAUAUGGUAAAAAGACAUGCUAUAAGUAGCAAGGACCAAACCAUGUUUUCAAAGAUGAAGAACGGCUCAUGAUUUUCCAUUGUCGCAUCCUUCAGCUUCACAAUGUUAGGGUGAAUAAGUUUCUGAAGAGGCUGCAGAAGGAUAAGUUUUUUUGUUAAGGCCUGUUUAGAUCAAUUUUUUAAAAAUUUUUUGACACUGUAGCACUUUUGUUUUUAUUUUACAAACAUAGGUUUAAAAGAUUCGUCUCGCGAUUUAUAAACAAACUGUGCAAUUAAUUUUUUAUUUUCAUCUAUAUUUAAUGCUUGAGAAUCUUGAAAAGUUUUUGGUUUUUGGGUGAACUAAACAAGGCCUAAGAAAACCAAGUUGCAAGACAGUAUAUCUUCUGAAGAGCCUGCAGAAGGAUAGCUCCGGGACGAAAUUGCCAGGAUUAAUCAGAGUCCUCGCGGCGAGGAAACAAACAAACACGACAGGGCAGAGCAGAGCAGGACGAGGAGCAAUCCAACGACACGAACCGAGGGAGGCAGGGUAGGGAUCCUUACCGGGGAAGGAGGAACCCGAUCCCAGCCCGGAGGGGUCUCCGCUGCCCGGCGGCAAGGUGGAGGGGAAGCCAGUCGGCGAGGUGGGGGGUCGCCGAGAUCGCGCUUGCAGUCGUCACAGGAAUUGCUAUGCGGAUCCAACAGGGCACACCGGCACAU
rnacentral:lncRNA from 1 species